UGUGACUCAGUUCUAUGAAAUAGGAGAGAGAAGUCUGCUGAAGGUGCUCCCCUCUUAGAAGAGACACAAGGAAACAACAAUCCUUUCUUUUCCUCUGGGUCUUGGUGUGUGAGGAUGCCACGACUGGAGGGAGCCAGGCGAUAUACGGACAACGGCAGCAAAGAGUGACGGCAGCCCCCAGAAGACAGCUGGAUUCUCAUAUCUGCAUUCAGUCUACUGCAAUAUGAUGUUUUGGGUGGAAUUAUCGGAAGAAAAUCUGGCCUCACACGGACACGUAGUUGGAAGAGGGAGGGUCCCACAGACCCUCUGAAAUGGUCCCCAGGAUCCCAGGGCUCCUCUGACCACACACUGAGGACCGCUGUGCCGGAGCAGGGCACAUCUUAACAAAGGUGGGACAGUGCUGGGGAAUUAAAAUGUUUACUCUGAGAACUUGGCAUUAACGUGAAACAACUGUUCACAAUUCAGUCAUUUUCAUGAGACUACAACUGGAGGUUGGAAAAUUCUGUACCUGUCGAUUCUUCCCCAUAUCCAACACGGCAGAAAAGUAUAACUUAAAUACCUUAAAUAGUAAAAUGAAAUAAAGGGCUAAAUGUGUAAUUUAAAAUACAGUUGUUGGUAUUUCAUGGAGAAAGAAACCAUAUCCAAUCAUUGAUUUCUUCAUGGACAAACAUCUUUAUUAAUUUUCUGCGAGGG
rnacentral:lncRNA from 1 species